AAGCCUUGAUGAGGGCAUUAGUUGGUGUAACCCUUGAAACGCUCCCAUGCUUCAUAGAAGCUUUCACCAGUCUUCUGUGAGAAAACAAGAAAUCUUAUUUCUGAGUCU